GGCCCUAUCGUCUAACGGUUAGGACACUUGGUUCUCAUCCAAGAAAUCCGGGUUCGAUUCCCGGUAGGGUCA
rnacentral:tRNA from 1 species